AAUUGCAAAAUGAAAAUGAACCACAUUGAUGUGUUGCUGUUAUUAUUCCUGGUGUGUUUCAGGAAGUCAUGUGGAGGGUGGUCCUCACAGUCAGUGUACUGUGCUGGGGUUCCGAGGGCCAAAUCGUCUGCAGAGAUGAAAAUGGCGAUGAGGUGGACUGGUAUAUCUUAUACAAAGUGCCCAAUAAGACCAACACAGACCUUAAUGGUUUAAAGUAUGUCUACAUUAAUUCCACUACAUCCAAAUGGCUUGACCUCAUCAAUGAUCGUGAAGGUGUCCUGGCAAACACCCUGCGGCCUCUCCUUACUCACCAAAAUCAUACAUCAGACUUUGGAUUUAUUUCCUAUAACGAUCAGCCUCCAAACAAGACCGCAUCCCAGGAUUUUGGCCACAGUAAAGGGGUUGUGAUGAUGAAUAAAGCAACUGGGGUCUGGCUGCUACACAGCACACCACAGUUCCCCAACAACACAAAACAAGGCAUAUUCUGGCCUACAUCUGGAACAAGAAAUGCGCAGAUAUUUAUCUGUGUAACAUUUAACUACAGCCAAUUUAACAAAAUAGGUGAACACCUCCUGAACAUCAAAGCUUUCCCAUUUGAUGCUUACAUUCCAAAUAACUUUCAUAAAGUGCUCCAAGAUGUUGCAAAUAAAAACAAAACAAAACAAAGAGUCAUCAAACCUUUCCUGGCCCAGGUGUUGACAUCAUUGGAUGGCCAAGAGUUCAUAAGUUUUGCUAAAUACAGCUCAAAAUCAUACAAUGUCGAAGAUCUUUAUCCUCUUAUUGCCAAGAACCUGAACAGUAACCUGACUGCCCAGACCUGGAGGGGAAACGCGGAAGAUAAGGAGUCAGACUUCCCUGAAGAGGGGACGGGAGACUGUUCAGAGGGGACCGGUAACUGUAUGGAAGAGGGGAGGAGGGAAGACAGUCUGGAGGAGGGGAGGGGAGACUGUUCAGUGGGGACAGGAGACUGUCCAGACAGAUGGAGAGUCUCCACUAUUCUUGAAAUAAAGAUGAUGCGUAACAUGGACCAGGAGGUUUCAUGGAGCAGUGGCCGAGAUCAUUCCAAGUGGUGUGUGUCUGUGGAUCAGAAUAGGCCAUGGACCUGUAUUGCUGAUUUGAACAGAGCAGAAACGCAACACAAGAGGCCGGGGGGCGCUCUAUGUAUUAACAUGACAGGUUUAUGGGAGAAGUUCACAGGUUUCAUUAAGAAUCAAACGGAAAAAAAAAGUGAAUGUGAAAUUCUGUCACAUUUCUGAAGCUAACAGUUCAACCCAAGUGGGUAUUAUUAUAAUUUUAUUGAUACUACUGCCAGCAAUACUUAUCGUUUAUGUACUUGAUUGAAACUUUUAUCAGUUAUUUUUGAUUUUUUAGAAGAAAAAAAGACAAUAAAUAAUAAUAAUAACAAUUGCUUUAUUCUCUUAUAUAACUCUAUUCUUUCUUCAGCAGCAACAGCAGCAAUGUUUUAAUUCACUAUUCCAGGCUCUGUAAUAUCUCACUGACAAAAACAAAUGUUGAAUAAAUGAAUAAAGUAAACAAUAUUCUAUGCAGCAGAAGACUAAAAUAACUUCAAACAAAUAUAAUGUAGGACCUAUAAAACUGUCGUCCUGGACUGGAGUAAAAGGUGGCCGAACAGCACUCGAGAGCGUUUUUUUGUGUCUCGUGAAGUGGGGUUGUUCCCUAAAUAUGGAGGGCAUUUGGACAUUCCAAAUUAGGGUGGGACAGAGAGAGUGAUCUGUAUCUGGAUGUCUUGUCGGGAUAAUGAAAAAUGCACGAUGUAUACGGGGUCAGACAGAGAAAGCGGCGAGAGUAUUUUGGCCACAUUUCUAGGAGCAAAAUAAUCUGAUGGUGUUAGUAUUCUGAGGUUAAUAACUGUGGACUUGUUUUUCUGAUAACGAGCGUAACGUUGGUGAGGUUGAGACGGCCAUGUCAUUUUGGUUCUGCACCUAGGGUGGUGGCGCUGCAGCCGAUUUGCUCAAGCAGUUAAAACACAGCACUGCUUCGUGCUUAUGACCUGCUUGUGAGUGUUUCAUUAGAGAGCUGGUAUUACCUCCCUAACGCGCGACAACCGUUUGACAUAAAUUGCAUUCAGAUUUAUUUUCUUACACUUUUUUUUUUUUUUUUUUAAAGUGAGCACACUUUGGGGCGUUUUAACCAGUCCGUCAAGACUGGAUCGCACAGAGUGUAAGGAGUAAACGAACAAUGGAAAUAGCUUAAUCGAAUGUCAUCAGCAAGAAAUGUAUUAUUGGCUAAUUGCUGUUUUUUUUUAAAAAAAAUAGAAAUCUUUUUAUGGAAAUGUUUAGUUUUUAUGAUCAAAUCUUUUUUUUACACCUUUCAGUUUAUUUUAAAAUAAAUUAAUAUGGGCAUAAUGAAUACUGUGGUGUAGAUACCGAUGGCAGCACUGUUUUUCCCAGGAACUUAUUGGUAAUUUGGUUUGAAACCUAUUGCCACUCUUAGCCUGUUGUUUAUGGGAUAUAAUGAAUGGGGAUCUGUAAGUCAUGUACUGUCACUGUUAGCCUGUUGUUUAUGGGAUAUAAUGAAUGGGGAUCUGUAAGUCCUGUACCGUGACCGUUAGCCAUUUUUUUCAACUAAGUGAAGUCUUACUGUGAGAGGAACCAAAUGUAAAUAUAUACGAUAAGGUUCCAUUAGCUGACAUGAGUUAAUGUACUAACUAACCUGAACAAAAAGAACAAACUGAGGUAUUGACAAGAUGUUUUUUUAAACAUGAACAAACUAUUAAUUUGUAUUUUAUCAAAUCCUUUAGCAUUCUCUGCCUUGUUUGCUCAUUGUCAUUGAAGUAUGAUUUGUUUGCUUUUUUCGCUUUUGGUUCAUUCCAGGAAAUACCCAAGGAACUGUUUCCUGUUCAUUAGCCUUAGCCAGCAUGUUAUCUUGUUUAAUGCUAUAAGUAUUAAAUGUGUCCAUAUUUGUUCUCAGAGACUUAUCCAAUGAUUGUUUUAUUAAUAAACCGUUAAGUUUUCACCUCA